GCUACGACUUUAAGAGUCAUGAGGUGGGCCGCAGUGGCAAAGAACAAAUGAAAAGCCCCAGAUCUUUUAAAGUAUUUGUAUUAAUAAGGCAAGAGCCAAAAAGCAUGCUCACUCUUGUUUUUGCAAAUUGCGUGGUCUAGGACUGCUCUAUAAUCCAAUCAGAGAGGGACUAGGCUGAUUGACUCUUCAGGCAGCUAAUCAGAGUGUCCAGAAGUCUUUUUCUUUUAGCAACUCAGAAGAAUUGAAUCACCAUUUUGGUUAGAGAGCAGGUAGCUUGGCUGGCUAACUGUUGACCCAUUUUAUCUGAAAAUAUUGCAAGAAGGAAAGUAAUGAAUAUGGCACAUAUAUGUGGAAGAUUGAACAUGCUUAACAAAAUCUAUACGAACACUGACCAUCUUCACUGCUCUCCUCUGAACCUGUUCCAGGGUCUACAAUCUUCUUAAAAACUGGACACAGUACUGCAGAAGGGGUCUAACACACAAGAAUGAAAUGACACUAUUAUUUCUUGUGACUUGGAAGCAAUGGUUCUAUUAGUGGCACCAGCCUAUUUUCAGCUGCAUCAUAGACCCCUUUCCACAUGUGCUACUGCCAAGCCAGAUAUCCACCUUUCCAUACCUUGGCAUUUCAUUAUUUUUUGCCUAAUUGCAGAACUUAAUUAAUUAAUUAGAUUUUUAUACUGCCCUGCCAAAAAUACCGCCGUUCCAAAAACCGCUCAGGGCAGUUUAUAUUAAAAGAAAACUAAAACCAAUUAACUGUUAAGAUCAAAAACUGUAAAAACAACAUAAAACCAUUAUUAAAACAAUUAAAACAGUUUAAGAUAACAUUAUAUUUGUUUUUGUUGAGUUUCAUUUUGUUCAUUUCAGCCCAGUUUUCCACUCUAUCCAAGGUCAUUUUGCAUGUUCUUAC